rnacentral:lncRNA from 1 species
GUGUUUGUUUUUUUUUCCUUUCAGUAAUCUGAAACAUUCAGUCUCUCUUAGUCAGUUAUGCCAGUUUCCCUUCUCAAAUGCCCUCACUUAGAGAGCUCUUAGUCUGAUAGUUGUGACUGUCAGUCUUAAACAGCUGUUCCUGCCACCUGUACAAUAAAUACCCGAGCAAGAUCAUAAGAAUACAGAUACACAGGACAAUGCAACAUACAAGCCAGGAAAGAAGAGUACAAAGCCCAUCCUUCCCUCUUUCUUAUCAGUGGAGCAGCAAUAUGCAAAGCAGCCGAAGUCCCUCCUAAAAUGAGCGUUGGACGCAGGGCCAAAACAACAAACAAGAGGGACCCUACCCCUGUCCUAAUGCGUGACAUUAUGAAAUGCCUGAGCAAAAGACGACAGUAGGGGAAGUAUUUCUCUCUCCUUUCCUGAGAAAAUGGAUGUUUGUGUUUCCUCUUUCCAUUUCUACAAAGGUUUUAUAACUAUUAUUUGCAUUUUUCACACUUUAAGAUUAAAUUUUUAUAAGAUUUUCUACUAUUGAUGAAGCUGAAGGCAGUAAAUGAGCUGUUAUGUUUUACAAAUGAGAAUUCUGUAAUUUGUGAAUAUACCAGCAAGCUUUCUUAAUUCAAGGUUAAAGUUUAAUAAGUUUAUCUAAUGGAUCAUUUUGUAGAUUACAACAUAAUACCCUAAGGUUAAGAAGAUCUGAGGCAUAAUAAGUACAAGCUGAUGAAAAAACAGUGUUUUUCUGAAGCCUGGACCUGUGAAUCCUCUAACCAGGCUGCUAAGCUCAUCUUUUAUUAUUCUCUCUUCAGGUUGUGAAAGUGGAUAUAUUUAUGGGCUGCAGUUACUCCAAUUAUGUUGUAACUAUUAAUACAUAGGAGAGGCACAUUAAGCUCCAAAUGUACACAGAUACAAAUAGUGGGGAAAUGUAGAUAUAAAAAUACAUUUUCGUGGUCUAGGCUUCUAAACAGCACUAGCCAGGAGAUUUCAUACCCUGUUUUCUGUAAACAUAGCAGCUAGAUCAGCUUCCCACAUGGCACAAUUUUGCAAGCAGUGGAAGAACGAUUCCAGAAGUUGAAAGGCAAUAUCCACCAGACUACAGUACCGUCUUCAUAAACCAGCGAAACUCAUUGAUUUCUUAACCACUGAAACACACAUUGGGGUGCCAUUAUAAUGGAUCUUGAGACAUUAUAGACAGAGAAAGGAUAGGGGAAUCAAAAGCAGAGGCUUAAGAACUCAAGAAGAUCUUGAAUCUCCUCUGGGAAACAUUUUAAAGAAAAUAAAACAUUUUUGUGUUUUAAUGUUAUUGCCUGG